AGACAUUCAAUCAUCAUUUUAAGGCUUCAAGUGAUGGAGAAUUAACCACAUCCAUAGGUAAAUUAUUCCAAUGGUUAGUUACCCUCAUUGCUAAAAAUCUGUGCCUUUUUUCUAGUCUGAAUUUGUCUGGCUUCAGCUUCCAACCAUUGGCUUAUUAGUGCCUUUUUCUGCUAGAUUAAAGGCCUAUCUGCUAUCAGACAUCUCUUCCCCAGGUGGUUGCUAAUUGUGUCCUCAUUUUCUGAGUGCCUGACAUGAGGACUUGGGGUUUAACCCAAAUUAGGGGACAUUUUGAUCCUAAUCUCUCAGUCUCAGUUCCCCAUUUGUAGUGAUACCCCCUCAUCUCCCUGGGGUGUAUGAAAAUAAAUUCUUUCAUAUCUGUAAAGCACUCAGAUACUGUAGUGAUGAACACCACACAAUAGCUUAUGAGGAAUUAAUAAUUCAAUCUUCAGAGCAAGGUUUGAAUAGUUUAUAGUAAAUAGGGCCUGGGGCCACACCAAAUAAUGAGAAAACAAUGUAUUGAAUAGGUGCUCAUUAAAUGAGCACUGUCCAUCCUGUCCUCUGGAUGAGGCAGGGCACCUCUAGAAAAAGAGCACAUGAUCAUGUCAUGACAAGACUAUCAUAAUGUGUGCACACACAAGGGGACUAAAUUAAGGUUUUACAGGCAACUUUACCUCUGGCAUUUCCCAACUUUCGGGGGCUUGACUUUGAGCGCAUAAUAUUAUUUUGGUGUAGUUUUGUGUGUUGAAUAUAGAUACUAAAAUAUGAACUAGUUGGUAUUC